UACGGGAGGCAGCAGUGGGGAAUAUUGCACAAUGGGCGAAAGCCUGAUGCAGCUAUGCCGCGUGUAUGAAGAAGGCCUUAGGGUUGUAAAGUACUUUCAGCAGGGAGGAAAGAAAUAAAACUAAUAAUUUUUAUUUUUGUGACGUUACCUGAAGAAGAAGCACCGGCUAACUCCGUGCCAGCAGCCGCGGUAAUACGGAGGGUGCAAGCGUUAAUCAGAAUUACUGGGCGUAAAGAGCGCGUAGGUGGUUUUUUUAAAGUCAGAUGUGAAAUCCCUAGGCUUUAACCUAGGAACUGCAUUUUGAAACUGAAAAACUAGAGUAUCGUAGAGGGAGGUAGAAUUCUAGGUGUAGCGGUGAAAUGCGUAGAUAUCUGGAGGAAUACCUGUGGCGAAAGCGGCCUCCUAAACGAAUACUGACACUGAGGUGCGAAAGCGUGGGGAGCAAACAGGGAUUAGAUACC
rnacentral:rRNA from 1 species